rnacentral:rRNA from 1 species
AAUGGCUCACCAAUGGCGAAGACUUCGAUAGCCGGCCUGAGAGGGCUCACGGCCACACUGGCACUGAAAACACGGCUGCCAGACUCCUACGGGAGGCAGCAGUGGGGAAUCUUGCACAAUAGGAGGAUCAACUCUGAUGCAGCGACGCCGCGUGAGUGAUGAAGGCCCUUCGGGGCAGUAAUCAGCUCUUUCGACAGGAACGAUAAUGACGGUACCGUGAAGAAGAAGCUGACGGCUCUAACUACGUGCCAGCAGCCGCGGUAAUACGGUAGGCAGCAAGCGUUGUAUCGUGGAAUUACUGGGCGUAAAGAGUGUGUAGGGCGGUGCUCUAAGUUUGGUGU